rnacentral:rRNA from 1 species
GACGAACGCUGGCGGCGUGCUUAACACAUGCAAGUCGAACGAUGAAGCCGGAGCUUGCUCUGGUGAAUUAGUGGCGAACGGGUGAGUAACACGUGAGUAACCUGCCCUUGCCUCUGGGAUAACUGCUAGAAAUGGUAGCUAAUACCGGAUACGACCCUCGGAGGCAUCUCCAGGGGGUGGAAAGAAUUUCGGUCAAGGAUGGACUGGGGGCCUAUCAGCUAGUUGGUGAGGUAACGGCUCACCAAGGCGACGACGGGUAGCCGGCCUGAGAGGGUGACCGGCCACACUGGGACUGAGACACGGCCCAGACUCCUACGGGAGGCAGCAGUGGGGAAUAUUGCACAAUGGGCGCAAGCCUGAUGCAGCAACGCCGCGUGAGGGAUGACGGCCUUCGGGUUGUAAACCUCUUUUAGUAGGGAAGAAGCGAAAGUGACGGUACCUGCAGAAAAAGCACCGGCUAACUACGUGCCAGCAGCCGCAGUAA